rnacentral:rRNA from 1 species
GCAGAACGCGAAGAACCUUACCAUCCCUUGACUUGGACGUCGCGGGCCCAGAGAUGGGUCUUUCAGUUCGGCUGGACGUCACACAGGUGCUGCAUGGCUGUCGUCAGCUCGUGUCGUGAGAUGUUGGGUUAAGUCCCGCAACGAGCGCAACCCUCGCCUUCAGUUGCCAGCAUUCAGUUGGGCACUCUGGAGGAACCGCCGGUGAUAAGCCGGAGGAAGGUGGGGAUGACGUCAAGUCCUCAUGGCCCUUACGGGAUGGGCUACACACGUGCUACAAUGGUGGUGACAGAGGGUUAUCCUUAAAAGCCAUCUCAGUUCGGAUCGGGGUCUGCAACUCGACCCCGUGAAGUUGGAAUCGCUAGUAAUCGCGUAACAGCAUGACGCGGUGAAUACGUUCCCGGGUCUUGUACACACCG